GAUGAACGCUAGCGGCAGGCUUAACACAUGCAAGUCGAGGGGUAUUGGUUUUCGGACCAAGAGACCGGCGCACGGGUGCGUAACGCGUAUGCAAUCUACCUUUUGCAGAGGGAUAGCCCAGAGAAAUUUGGAUUAAUACCUCAUAGUAUAGUACUUUGGCAUCAAGGAACUAUUAAAGUCACAACGGCAAAAGAUGAGCAUGCGUCCAUUAGCUAGUUGGUAAGGUAACGGCUUACCAAGGCUACGAUGGGUAGGGGUCCUGAGAGGGAGAUCCCCCCANACUGGUACUGAGACACGGACCA
rnacentral:rRNA from 1 species